CAAAAAUAAACGUCUCAGUUCGGAUUGUAGUCUGCAACUCGACUACAUGAAGCUGGAAUCGCUAGUAAUCGCAGAUCAGAAUGCUGCGGUGAAUACGUUCCCGGGUCUUGUACACACCGCCCGUCACACCAUGGGAGUCGGAAAUGCCCGAAGCCGGUGACCCAACCAAAAGGAGGGAGCCGUCGAAGGCAGGUCUGGUAACUGGGGUGAAGUCGUAACAAGGUACC
rnacentral:rRNA from 1 species